AUACGGAGGAUCCGAGCGUUAUCCGGAUUUAUUGGGUUUAAAGGGAGCGUAGGCGGGAGAUCAAGUCAGCUGUGAAAUGUAGAUGCUCAACAUCUGCACUGCAGUUGAAACUGGUUUUCUUGAGUGCGUAAGGGGCAGGCGGAAUUCGUCGUGUAGCGGUGAAAUGCUUUGAUAUGACGAAAAACUCCGAUCGCGAAGGCAGCCUGCCGGGCCGCGACUGACGCUGAAGCUCGAAGGUGCGGGUAUCGAACAGGAUUAGAUACCCUGGUAGUCCGCACAGUAAACGAUGGAUACUCGCUGUCGGCGAUAUACUGUCGGUGGCCAAGCGAAAGCGUUAAGUAUCCCACCUGGGGAGUACGCCGGCAACGGUGAAACUCAAAGGAAUUGGCGGGG
rnacentral:rRNA from 1 species